rnacentral:rRNA from 1 species
CUGGGAACUGCAUUCGAAACUGGCAGGCUAGAGUCUUGUAGAGGGGGGUAGAAUUCCAGGUGUAGCGGUGAAAUGCGUANAGAUCUGGAGGAAUACCGGUGGCGAAGGCGGCCCCCUGGACAAAAACUGACCCUCAGGUGCGAAAACGUGGGGAGCAAACAGGAU